UACAGAGGUCCAAGCGUUGUUCGGAUUCAUUGGGCGUAAAGGGUGCGUAGGCGGCGCGGUAAGUCGGGUGUGAAAUCUCGGAGCUUAACUCCGAAACUGCAUUCGAUACUGCCGUGCUUGAGGACUGGAGAGGAGACUGGAAUUUACGGUGUAAGCGGUGAAAUGCGUAGAUAAUCGUAAGGAAGACCAGUGGCGAAGGCG
rnacentral:rRNA from 1 species